CCUGGCGGCAAUAGCGCGGUGGUCCCACCUGACCCCAUGCCGAACUCAGAAGUGAAACGCCGUAGCGCCGAUGGUAGUGUGGGGUUUCCCCAUGCGAGAGUAGGACACUGCCAGGU
rnacentral:rRNA from 1 species